UCCCUGGUAGCUCAGAUGGUAGAGAAUCUGCCUGCAAUGCAGGAUACAUGGGUUCAAUCCCUGAGUUGGGAA
rnacentral:tRNA from 1 species